GUGGACAUUCUUCUGGUAUGCUCGUUUGCAUUAGCGUUAAUAUCCAGCACCUUAGUGGCUACCAUAUGGAGAUGGAAGAGGCUAAGAGAAGAAAUUCCACCAUUUUCUGAAAAAGAAAGGAAGGCAAUGAAACCAACAGAAGCAAACAGAGGUUUUGAUCAACACGAAAUUCAUUAUGGAGCAAGACCAAACUUUAAAGAUAUGUUUUCCCAGUUUUCUAAUGAAUCCAAGGGAUCCAAUAUUGGAGUCUUCGUUUGUGGACCUGAAACAAUGAAAGAAUCGGUAGCUACAACUUGCAGCUACUUUCUAACGCUUUUCAAAGUGGAGGACAAGAUCAUAAACCAUUUUUCAGCUUUCACUCCUUAAAUUUCACCCUCUAGUACUCAUUGAGAACAUUGGUCGAGCACUUGUCUACAAAUGAACUAAAUGAAAAUCUGGCCCUUAUACACA